GCAGUGUCACAAGGGAUAUCCCAGCGGAUGUAAUAUUCCUACAGCAGAAAUGUUUCACAACCUCGACUGCAGGGAGCUGAAGACGUGACAUAUUCAGACAGAGACCAUAAUACAUAGACUGUUAUAUGGUCUCUGAUUCAGGUGUGAAGAAUCAAGAACAAAUUAAAUGACAGGAGUUUUGCAACAGUGAACAUUGUGAAGUGGAAGAUAAGACAUUUGAAAGGUACCUGGAUUUCACAAUCUGACACCAGCUACAUUUAAGAAGAUCUUGCUCACACAAUUCAGACAAGGGACUCGCCGGAUGAUGAACAGUACUCCUGAUAACAACCAACAGAUUCACCUCAGAAAGUGAUGAUUCUGAAUGAAUAAUGCCACAUCAGUGUUACUGUAGGUGGUUUUAUUAUGACACUAAUGAAGUCUGAAUGAAUUUAUGCCAAAGCACUGUGACUAUGUCCAGUUUGUGUACACCGAUGCUGACUAUACAAAUCUGAAUGACUUUUGUGGUUUACUGCAGAAACAUAAUUGACUUUAGAUUUUCUUCUUCAAUAAAAUUCUUCUGAGAUUUGACUAAUUUGUUUAUUUAGAAAAUGGCAUUGAAGCAUCUGUUCUGUAAGGCCUUGCAAACAC
rnacentral:lncRNA from 1 species